CCUGCUCCUAGAAUCAUUACAGAUAUGACUGCUGUGUCAAAUGUGUGUCAGUAGGUAGCAGAGUGGAGAGAGGCUAUAUCUAUACUCAGUGUUUUGGCUUAUGAACAGCUGAAUGAUGUUACCUGAAAAA